ACGUACACUCCUACGGGAGGCAGCAGUGGGGAAUUUUGGACAAUGGGCGAAAGCCUGAUCCAGCCAUGCCGCGUGCAGGAUGAAGGCCUUCGGGUUGUAAACUGCUUUUGUACGGAACGAAACGGCCUUUUCUAAUAAAGAGGGCUAAUGACGGUACCGUAAGAAUAAGCACCGGCUAACUACGUGCCAGCAGCCGCGGUAAUACGUAGGGUGCAAGCGUUAAUCGGAAUUACUGGGCGUAAAGCGUGCGCAGGCGGUUAUGUAAGACAGUUGUGAAAUCCCCGGGCUCAACCUGGGAACUGCAUCUGUGACUGCAUAGCUAGAGUACGGUAGAGGGGGAUGGAAUUCCGCGUGUAGCAGUGAAAUGCGUAGAUAUGCGGAGGAACACCGAUGGCGAAGGCAAUCCCCUGGACCUGUACUGACGCUCAUGCACGAAAGCGUGGGGAGCAAACAGGAGUAGAUACCCGGGUAGUCCCAUG
rnacentral:rRNA from 1 species